CCUACGCGAGGCAGCAGUGAGGAAUAUUGGUCAAUGGGCGGAAGCCUGAACCAGCCAAGUCGCGUGAGGGAAUAAGGCCCUACGGGUCGUAAACCUCUUUUGCCGGGGAGCAAAGGCGGGGACGUGUCCCGGCCCGGAGAGUACCCAGAGAACAAGCAUCGGCUAACUCCGUGCACGCAGCCGCGGUAAUACGUAGGAUGCGAGCGUUAUCCGGAUUUAUUGGGUUUAAAGGGUGCGUAGGCGGGCUGUUAAGUCAGCGGUAAAAAUUCGGGGCUCAACCCCGUCUGGUCGUUGAAACUGGGGGCCUUGAGUGGGCGAGAAGAAGGCGGAAUGCGUGGUGUAGCGGUGAAAUGCAUAGAUAUCACGCAGAACCCCGAUUGCGAAGGCAGCCUUCCGGCGCCCUACUGACGCUGAGGCACGAAAGUGCGGGGAUCGAACAGGAUUAGAUACCCGAGUAGUC
rnacentral:rRNA from 1 species